rnacentral:lncRNA from 1 species
GGGCUAUAGCCUUGGGGGGUGGGGCUGCCCAACUUCGUCCGCCCGACUCGGAAUGGCGUGAGACUUUGCGAGGGGCCUCCGUGUGCCAAAAAUAGGCUGCGGGCAAAGCCACGCCCAAAAAUAACCGCCCGAAGGCCGGGGCGCCAAGUUCGUCCAGCGGAAACAGGCCACAAAAACGGGUGGGCUAUAGCCUUGGGGGGUGGGGCUGGCCAACUUCGUCCGCCGGACUCGGAAUGCCGCGAGACUUUGCGAGGGCCCUCCAUGUGCAUAAAAUAGCCCACGGACAAAGCUACGCCCAAAAAUAACCGCCCGAUGGCCGGGGCGCAAGUUCGUCCCGCGGAAAAAGGCCACAAAAACGGGUGGGCUAUAGCCUUGGGGGGUGGGGCUGGCCCACAUCGUCCGCCGGACUCGGAAUGCCGCGAGACUUUGCGAGGGUCCUCCGUGUGCAUAAAAUAGGCUGCGGACAAAGCUGCGCCCAAAAAUAACCGCCCGAAGGCCGGGGCGCCAAGUUUGUCCAGCGGAAAAAGGCCACAAAAACGGGUGGGCUAUAGCCUUGGGGGGUGGGGCUGGCCAACUUCGUCCGCCGGACUCGGAAUGCCGCGAGACUUUGCGAGGGCCCUCCGUGUGCAUAAAAUAGGCCGCGGAAAAAGCUACGCCCAAAAAUAACCACCCGAAGGCCGGGGCGCCAAGUUCGUCCAGCGGAAAAAGGCCACAAAAACGGGUGGGCUAUAUCCUUGUGGCGUGGCGCUGGCCAACUUCGUCCGCCGGACCCGGAAUGCCGCGACACUUUGCUAGGGGCCUCCGUGUGCCAAAAUUAGGCCGCGGGCAAAGCCGCGCCCAAAAAUAACUGCCCGAAGGCCGGGGCGCCAAGUUCGUCCCGCGGAAAAAGGCCACAAAAACGGGUGGGCUAUAGCCUUGGGGGGUGGGGCUGGCCAACAUCGUCCGCCGGACUCGGAAUGCCGCGAGACUUUGCGAGGGUCCUCCGUGUGCAUAAAAUAGGCUGCGGACAAAGCUGCGCCCAAAAAUAACCGCCCGAAGGCCGGGGCGCCAAGUUCGUCCAGCAGAAAAAGACCACAAAAACGGGUGGGCUAUAGCCUUGGGGGGUGGGGCUGCCCAACUUCGUCUGCCCGACUCGGAAUGGCGUGAGACUUUGCGAGGGGCCUCCGUGUGCCAAAAAUAGGCUGCGGGCAAAGCCACGCCCAAAAAUAACCGCCCGAAGGCCGGGGCGCCAAGUUCGUCCAGCGGAAACAGGCCACAAAAACGGGUGGGCUAUAGCCUUGGGGGGUGGGGCUGGCCAACUUCGUCCGCCGGACUCGGAAUGCCGCGAGACUUUGCGAGGGCCCUCCAUGUGCAUAAAAUAGCCCGC